GACGAACGCUGGCGGCGUGCUUAACACAUGCAAGUCGAACGAAAAGAGGGAAAGAGCUUGCUCUUUCCGGAAUUGAGUGGCAAACGGGUGAGUAACACGUAAACAACCUGCCUUCAGGAUGGGGACAACAGACGGAAACGACUGCUAAUACCGAAUAAGUUCCAAGGGCCGCAUGGCCCAUGGAAGAAAAGGUGGCCUCUAGCUGUAAGCUAUCGCCUGAAGAGGGGUUUGCGUCUGAUUAGCUGGUUGGAGGGGUAACGGCCCACCAAGGCGACGAUCAGUAGCCGGUCUGAGAGGAUGAACGGCCACACUGGAAUUGAGACACGGUCCAGACUCCUACGGGGAGCAGCAGUGGGGAAUCUUCCGCAAUGGGAGAAAGCCUGACGGAGCAACGCCGCGUGAGUGAUGACGGCCGUCGGGUUGUAAAACUCUGUGAUCCGGGACGAAAAGGCAGAGUGCGAAGAACAAACUGCAUUGACGGUACCGGAAAAGCAAGCCACGGCUAACUACGUG
rnacentral:rRNA from 1 species